AACAUAUAUAAGUAACUAUUGGAACAUAUAUAACGCAAUACAUCAAUUUUCACACGGUUUCAAAACAAUAAUAAACCGCGUAGGUCGAGCCAAUCGGAAAUCAUUGUAUACACAUGGCGUCAGUCUAUUAUUGAAAAUCGUAACGAGUGGAUGUACGUUGUUCGAAAUAUAUAAUUGAGAAAACUUUUAUUAACAAGGAAAUAAUGAUAAAUUCGAUAAAUUUAAAAAAAUUGGAAUUCAACUGUUUUUUCCUAUUCUUCUAUAUUUCAACGAAGAAUAUAAAAUAAAGUUCCACCAAAAUUCGUAACAAAGAAAUCCUCGAAAAAUUUUCCCGCAACCUUGUGUCAAAUACCGAAAAACGGAUGGAAAAACCAACAACGGAUACCACGAAGUAUUUUCACGCUAGGCAAAGGUAACCAGAUAUGUUAAUGCCUGGUCGAUCGAGGUAAGUACGUAUUACCGUGCAACGUGUAACGUUAUCGGGACAGAAUUACCGCUCCAGAAAUGGUGCGUGGUCCGAGUUUCCUUUUAAAUGUGUUAUUUCGCGAAGCUCGUGCCCAAUCAUGCACGAAUGCAACAAUGAACAGGGUCGAAAUAGGGGGAUAGAAGAGGCAGAGACCGGUGAUUUGACCGGAGGCAGGCUCAACAAGCGUCGUAAGGAGAUUUCGUUAAGAAUACAAAAAUCUUAACAAUCAUCGAUCUUUGAAAAUGUUCAAACGGAGAUUCAUAAUAAUAACACAGAAUUUUUUAAACAGUUGUAAUGGAUUCUGAAAGCUUCAAGUAUCCCAUUCCUAGUUUUAAAAUUAUAUUUGAAUAAAUUAUAUGCAACAUGUUAUAACCUUCGAAAAUUAGAACCAUUCGAAAAAUCUUCAAAUCAUUUUGCUUUCGACUCUUCGAUCCGAUUUUCCUCAGAAAAUCAUUUUGAUAAAAAUAACGACACACGUCGAUUUCGUCUCGAUGGUUGGUCAAGUUCCUUAAAGGUACGUAUAUAUUUUUCUCUCGCAAAGCCGCGUAUCCAACCGGCCGCGUUAAUGGCGAGGACCGUGCACGGUGACCUCGAGAAAGAGCAUGGAAGAUAAUCGUGCCACGUUAAAUUCGCGAUUUAGACGAGGGGUGUUGAUAAAAAAAGAAAAAAAAAAAGAAAAAAAAAAGAAAAAAAAGAAAAACGUUAAUGGAGACACCGUUUCCUUUCCCUUUAUCGAAACCUCUUACGUUCACCCUCGUCUCGGUUCGUCGGAUUCUCCGGUUAUUUAACCCGAUCGCGAUGUGAAAAAAAUGCGAAAAGGAUAGGGAAGAGGAAAGAGAAAGAGAAAGAAAGAAAGAGAGAGAGAGAGAAAGGAAGGGAAAAGUUUUCGCGUACAUAACGCGUAUUUUCAUCUCUUUUUAGGAGGGACGACAGGGUGGUUAUCGGAGCGGAGAUUUCGCAGCCCGUACGUUUCCCGUACGCCGUGUACACACAUAAGAACGUGGGGCCCGUAUUAUAGCAAUUCAAUAAUAAAUUGUAGAACGCUCGGUCGUCGCAUUAUGCGCCGCUGGAGCCAUCCGAGGGAAUCAUGGGAAGUGUCUGCGUGUGUGUGAGAGAGUAAGAGAAAGAGAAAGAGAGAGGGAUGUACGUAAGUCGAUGGAAAGAUUCUGGGACGACGGAAUGACAGAGAGGGAGGAGGAGGAGGAGGAGGCUCGCGUUGGGAGAGGAGAGGAUGAGAAGAUGUUGCGCGAGAGAGGAGGCCAUGGGCGUCGUCCGUGGUGCGAUCUGGAAUCGGCAUAAUUUACAACACGACCAGGAAAUUGAGCCGCGUCCAGCCGAUGCAAAAGUACGCCGUGAGCGACCGCGAUCGAUCAUAGAUUCCUACCUUUUCUUCCGGCACCAGAUCACCCGAUUGAUGAAUUUCCGCCUAGGUGGAACCACCGGGAAACGAUUCAUCCUGGAAGAAUUUUCUCUGAUCCUUGCUUCGAAUCUUUGACAAUCUUUUCCUCGAGAUCGUUCUUUAUCUUGGGGAAUUCUAGCUAGUCUACGGUAAAGAAAAAGUAACUAGGAGCAAUUUUGGGGGGAAUUCGGAUUCGAUACGCACACAGUUGAUUCGAUUUUCAUACAGGAAGAAUGUUCUCGGAUCUCGUUAUUGGAUCUCUCGUACAAAGGAGAGAAAGAGAGAGAGAGAGGCGAAUCAUCAUUGGAGGAAUUGAAUUAAGUAGAUCUGUAAAGUUUGAUGCUCUCGUUACUAUCACACGAUAAAGAAGAGCGAAGUGUAUGUACGCCUAUGAAACGGGUGGAAGGGGACCCGCCGUACGUAGCCGUUAAGCCAACAUCUAAUUCGAUAACUGGCGAAAAUAAUAACGUAGCGAUCUGUUGCGUUCGCGAGGCGCAAUCAUCCGUUUCGUACCGGGUGUCCACAGAAAACUAUCGGCCCAUUCUCUCGCAGCUCGUUCCACCGACUUUUUUUCCCCCUUCUUCUUCUUUUUCUUUUUCUUCUUCUUCUUUUUCGAGCAUCGAGUUUGCGUUCCAUAGAAAUUAUUUUGCAAUAGUAAAGCAUAAUAUCAGUCCCAAUUGUUAGCUAUCCUACGCUUCCUCGCGAGAGAUAUAACAUUUCCUCUUCCUAGAAUUCCAUAGAUUAGAAAAAUUUGUUAGAGAUAAAACAACAGAUUUAUUAAUUCCAAAAUAAUUAAAUUUUUUCGACGAGA
rnacentral:lncRNA from 11 species